UACAGAGGGGGCAAGCGUUAUUCGGAAUUAUUGGGCGUAAAGGGCGCGUAGGCGGCUUUGCAAGUGGCGGGUGAAAUCCCUCGGCUUAACCGGGGAACUGCGUCUGAUACUGGAUGGCUUGAGUUUGGGAGAGGGAUGCGGAAUUCCAGGUGUAGCGGUGAAAUGCGUAGAUAUCUGGAGGAACACCGGUGGCGAAGGCGGCAUCCUGGACCAACACUGACGCUGAGGAGCGAAAGCAUGGGGAGCGAACAGGA
rnacentral:rRNA from 1 species